AUUGAACGCUGGCGGCAGGCUUAACACAUGCAAGUCGAGCGAGCGGCGGACGGGUGAGUAAUGUCUGGGAAACUGCCUGAUGGGGGGGGAUAACUACUGGAAACGGUAGCAAAUACCGCAUACCAUCAGAUGGGCCCAGAGUGGAUUAGCUAGUAGGUGGGGUAAUGGCUCACCUGGGCGACGAUCCCUAGCCGGCCUGAGAGGAUGACCAGCCACACUGGAACUGAGACACGGUCCAGACUCCUACGGGAGGCAGCAGUGGGGAAUAUUGCACAAUGGGCGCAAUCCUGAUGCGUCCAUGCCGCGUGGGUGAAGAAGGCCUUCGGGUUGUAAAGCACUUUCAGCGAGGAGGCGUUACUCGCAGAAGAAGCACCGGCUAACUCCGUGCCAGCAGCCGCGGUAAUAC
rnacentral:rRNA from 1 species